AUUGAACGCUGGCGGCAUGCCUUACACAUGCAAGUCGAACGGAUUUGAGGGGCUUGCUCCUCAAGUUAGUGGCGAACGGGUGAGUAAUACAUCGGAACGUACCCAGUUGUGGGGGAUAACGUAGCGAAAGUUACGCUAAUACCGCAUACGCACUGAGGUGGAAAGCGGGGGACCUUCGGGCCUCGCGCAAUUGGAGCGGCCGAUGUCGGAUUAGCUAGUUGGUGGGGUAAAGGCCUACCAAGGCGACGAUCCGUAGCUGGUCUGAGAGGACGACCAGCCACACUGGAACUGAGACACGGUCCAGACUCCUACGGGAGGCAGCAGUGGGGAAUUUUGGACAAUGGGCGAAAGCCUGAUCCAGCCAUGCCGCGUGAGUGAAGAAGGCCUUCGGGUUGUAAAGCUCUUUCAGACGGAAAGAAAUCUUUCGGGUGAAUAUCCCGGGAGGAUGACGGUACCGUAAGAAGAAGCACCGGCUAACUACGUGCCAGCCGCCGCGGUAA
rnacentral:rRNA from 1 species